rnacentral:rRNA from 1 species
GAUGAACGCUGGCGGCGUGCCUAAUACAUGCAAGUCGAGCGAACGGACGAGAAGCUUGCUUCUCUGAUGUUAGCGGCGGACGGGUGAGUAACACGUGGAUAACCUACCUAUAAGACUGGGAUAACUUCGGGAAACCGGAGCUAAUACCGGAUAAUAUUUUGCACCGCAUUGUUCAAAAGUGAAAGACGGUCUUGCUGUCACUUAUAGAUGGAUCCGCGCUGCAUUAGCUAGUUGGUAAGGUAACGGCUUACCAAGGCAACGAUGCAUAGCCGAGCUGAGAGGGUGAUCGGCCACCCUGGAACUGAGACACGGUCCAGACUCCUACGGGAGGCAGCAGUAGGGAAUCUUCCGCAAUGGGCGAAAGCCUGACGGAGCAACGCCGCGUGAGUGAUGAAGGUCUUCGGAUCGUAAAACUCUGUUAUUAGGGAAGAACAUAUGUGUAAGUAACUGUGCACAUCUUGACGGUACCUAAUCAGAAAGCCACGGCUAACUACGUG